UACGGAGGGUGCGAGCGUUGUCCGGAAUCACUGGGCGUAAAGGGCGCGUAGGCGGCCUGAUAAGUAGGGGGUGAAAUCUUGCGGCUUAACCGCAAGGCUGCCUUCUAAACUGUCAGGCUAGAGCACAGUAGAGGCAGGUGGAAUUCCCGGUGUAGCGGUGGAAUGCGUAGAGAUCGGGAAGAACAUCAGUGGCGAAGGCGGCCUGCUGGGCUGUUGCUGACGCUGAGGUGCGAAAGCUAGGGGAGCAAACGGG
rnacentral:rRNA from 1 species